UAAUAUUUCUGAUGGUAUUUGAUACACGUGUCCUUGGCACACCUUGAAGAAGUUGGUAUAUCAAAUUGGCAGUGCCGGAAAGUAGAACGUUACAGAAUAGAAGAUGGUAUUUAGCACUAAAUUUAAAAGCAAGGGUAUCUCCAACAAUCGGUAUGAUUAAUGUUCGCAAUCAAUUUGGGGGAUAUCAAUAUAAUGUGUAUGCUAUCAAUAUAAUGCCCUCUUUGAAGAGCUACAUAUAAUCGUGUCUAUAGAAUCAUAAACACGCCCACUUUCUAUACAAUGCCUUUCUGAAUCUAAUCAGUAAUGUGUGUGAAUCUUUAUGCUAUAUUCUCUACGAUUUUCGACCGUUAUCUUUGCCUAGCCUCUUUUGAUGAUUUCAUUUCUUUGUUUAAAGUGGAUAUUCCUGAUUUUAGGUGAGAUAAGCUAUUAAUAAUGACUUUAUAAGCUCAUAUAAUGAAUAAUCGCUUUUAUAAAAAAUUUUCCAUGUAACUUAAUACUAUAUAUCGUCACCUAAAGUGCAUUGAAACGUAACAACACUUUUCAUAGGUUUACAAGCGAUGGAAAAACGAUAUAAAAGAAGCCACUCAUAUUGAAACAAAAUUUAAGUUUGAGUUAUAAAAUGGUUAUAUAUUGGUUAUACAUUGGCUAUAUAUUGGUUAUAUAUUGUUUAUACAUUGGCUAUACAUUGGUUAUAUAUUAGUUAUCUUUGACACAGGAAGCUGUAAAUUUUAUGCUACAUAAACUUAAUAUGAUGCAGUGCACCGUAAGCAAUAAAAAAUUCCAUUUCGAUUAUUUUGAUGAUAUGUUGUUUUGCAUUUUAGGUAACGAUAUGUAUUUCCGAUUUUUUUUUUUGUGCACUUUAAUUUAAAAAAAAUUUUCUUUGACCAUAUACAUAUUUUCAUGAAAUUUGGCAUGUAUUAUUGUUUUAAAACAUAGGCACGUUUAACGAAAAAUUUGUUCAUAUGCUGUCAUACUGAUUGAUAAAACUCAAGGCUUUGUAUGGAAAACUUUUUUAUUUGACAAUAUAUCUGUACAAAAUUUGGCACAGAAUAUUUUCAGAAUCAGCAUUAUAUUUUCGGAAAAAACUGUUCCGAUCGCACAACUAUAGCAUAUAGCUGCCAUACAAACUGAGCGAUCAAAAUCAGUAUAAAGAAUUUGUAUACCCUUUUAUGUUAUAAGAAAUGUUACUGUGAACUAUAUUAUAGCUUCGGUGUAAGCCAAAUAAACUUAUCUUAAUUUUAA